rnacentral:rRNA from 1 species
AUGACUAGGGAUAACCUUAGGAAGAGAUACAUCAUCAAACCCCUUGAUUGUGUUUACUGCUUGGAACAAGAGUCUUGUUCUCACCUAUUUGAAUGUAUAGUUGCUAAACAUCUCUGGGCCCACAUUGAGGAAUAUUUCUCUAGUCAGAUUGACUCAUCCUUUGAAUCUGUCGCCAGAUUCGGGAUUGCUACCAAAAAGUGCUCAGUUUUAAACACUGUUAGCUUAGCUGUCCUUUGGUGCCUCUGGAAAUAUAGAAAUGCUAUGAUUUUCAGUAACACCUCCUGGAUUUCCAUUCCGCAGGUCUUGAGGUUGAUCAGGAACAUGGUGAGGAACUGGGCGAUUCUCUCCUCCGGGUCGGACUAG